rfam:Operophtera brumata OBRT01_Sc01073, whole genome shotgun sequence.
CGUUCUAUGGCCAAAUUGGUAAACCCAUCGCCGACCACAGGCGAGGAUGUGGGUUCGAGUCCCGCUGGAACGG